AUACGUAGUGGAUGUUCAAACACGCAUGCGCAGUGAAUAUAAUGUUACGCGCAUGCGCGGUGCUGUGUUGUUGUUGAUGAACAAUCGCACGUGCUUUGGUAUUUCAAGAAGAAUCUGCCGAAAAACGAAGGAUUAUUUAACAACAGUGAUUGUAUAAAGAUUUGACUGGAUUUGGCAAGAUGCCCUUGCUCAUUAAAGAAGAUGGAGAUGUGGCUUUUAUCAGACUGUUGACAUGCCAGCUUUUUCACUAUGCUGUUAGUAAAGCAUCUUUCAGAGAAAAGGCUCCUGUAGUCUGGCUUGACAGUGUUGUCAACUGGAACACAUUCUCCGGGGUGUAGAGAUUUAUUUACAGACUGUCCACCAGGUCGAGUUGGAGGAAGGGUGUCCCAGGGAUGAAUUGUUCAUCUAUUCUGCAUCAGUAAAGCAGUGGUGGCGUGGCACUGACUUUAAACUAUUUAAGAUCAAACUGUGACAAAAGCUUUACCUGUGCUGACUGCAGUCAGUUAUAUGUGACCCUGCCUGUGAAAAAACAGGAUAAGUCUUGAAAUGUAAUUAUGAUAUAAUGAGCAUCAAAGUGUUAUUUUCAUUACUUUCACAUUGAUUUUGACAUUUGACAUGAUUUUACUCAGUCAACCCCACACACCCAGCCAACUUUUUCUUUGAACUUUUGCCCUUUGGCCGGCGCUACAAAGCACUGAACACUAUAAACAACAGUUUGUUCCUCAGGUUAUAUACCUAAACAAUUAAAGCACCCAUAACUUCCAAA